ensembl:snoRNA
AUGCGUGCUUCUAAGGUUUCUGGCUAGUAGUAACUAUGGGAUCUCCAACUGCAUGGGAAAAUGACAUGGAGAUACUUUGACAGAACAGGUCAGCAUCAUACCAGUAGCUGUCAUUCAUUUUUCCUAUAUUU